rnacentral:rRNA from 1 species
GAUCCUGGCUCAGAACGAACGCUGGCGGCGUGGAUAAGACAUGCAAGUCGAACGAGAGAAUUGCUAGCUUGCUAAUAAUUCUCUAGUGGCGCACGGGUGAGUAACACGUGAGUAACCUGCCCCCGAGAGCGGGAUAGCCCUGGGAAACUGGGAUUAAUACCGCAUAGUAUCGAAAGAUUAAAGCAGCAAUGCGCUUGGGGAUGGGCUCGCGGCCUAUUAGUUAGUUGGUGAGGUAACGGCUCACCAAGGCGAUGACGGGUAGCCGGUCUGAGAGGAUGUCCGGCCACACUGGAACUGAGACACGGUCCAGACACCUACGGGUGGCAGCAGUCGAGAAUCAUUCACAAUGGGGGAAACCCUGAUGGUGCGACGCCGCGUGGGGGAAUGAAGGUCUUCGGAUUGUAAACCCCUGUCAUGUGGGAGCAAAUUAAAAAGAUAGUACCACAAGAGGAAGAGACGGCUAACUCUGUGCCAGCAGCCGCGGUAAUACAGAGGUCUCAAGCGUUGUUCGGAA